GACAGAGGGUGCAAACGUUGUUCGGAUUUACUGGGCGUAAAGCGUGUGUAGGCGGCUUCGCAAGUUGGAUGUGAAAUCCCACGGCUCAACCGUGGACGUGCAUCCAAAACUGCGUCGCUAGAGUCUCGGAGAGGAAGGUGGAAUGCUUGGUGUAGAGGUGAAAUUCGUAGAUAUCAAGCAGAACACCUGCGGCGAAGGCGGCCUUCUGGACGAUGACUGACGCUGAGACGCGAAAGCGUGGGGAGCAAACAGG
rnacentral:rRNA from 1 species